UUAGAAACACACCACCAAACACAUCAAGUCUAGACUGUCCGUUCUAAUAGAUUCUAUUGCUUUCGGUGGCCGAGAAGUCGGUUUCGAUAAAAAAAACAACACAGCCAGUUAGGCUGUUACUGUAAGUCGAAGUAGUGUAGUUCUUUUAUUCAACUGAUAGUGUGGUAAAAGUGGUCGUGGAAAACUAUUAAAAUUACAAGCUAAUUUGGAUACACUAUGACGUAUGCAUUUAUAAUAGUGGUGUCAGUGGCCGUAACUUUAAAGUUAUUGUUUCUAAGUUUCUCAUUGUACGUAACACUCAAUGAUCCAGAACUAAAAAUGGAGAAAGAUCCGAAGAUCAAAACCGACAACACAACAUGCAUGGCGUCCAAGUGGAAACAAGUUUCGCAAGUUUUUUUUUGUAAAACGUCACGUAGCAAGAUGAAUAAAAAUGUUAAAUUGGGAUCAUGAUUACAACAAGUUUUGUAAUGCACUAAUUACAUUAUUUUUUUAACACCAAAAACCAGUUUAAAGCCUCAACGUAUAACUGUUAAUAUUUUAUUUUCAGAUGUAUAUUUAAUGCGGUUCGGGAUAACUUGACAAUUUAAAUGAUGUGAUAUCUAUUAAAAUAUAUGAUUUGUACAUAGAGUUAUAGAAGUGCUUUUGUUUUUCCUGGUAAAUAGGAACUUCCUCUUGCGUGUAGAUCAUUGCAAUCGUUAACAUGCAAUACUCGCAAACAAUCGACUUCGACUUUUAAGUCAACCGAAAUUUAUGUGUUACAUUAUACAAUUGUUAACGAAUUUUGGGAGGGUAUGGGAAAUGACUCCAUCAAAAUACGAAACUUUUACGAAACUACAUUAGGAAAACGACAUCUGUACAAUCCGGUGCUAUUUUUGCUAUAUCUCCACUGUUGUAUAGAUUAUGUAAACAAUCAACUUUUACGUUCUCUAAUUUUCUAUUGCAACUAAUUAGUUUGAAAAUAGAGAAGUGUAUGUAUGAAAAGAAAUUCUCUCGCUAACGUCGAUGUAUUUAUUUUCAUCUUCUAGUAAGAUUGUCUAUCGUCGCAGUCCAUAGUUUCCAUUAAUAUUGUAAAGAUUUUUUUUUAUUUCGAUGUAAUAAAACUAUUUUUAAAAAUAAAGUA